UACGUAGGGGGCAAGCGUUGUCCGGAUUUAUUGGGCGUAAAGAGCGUGUAGGCGGCCAGGUAGGUCCGCUGUGAAAACUCGAGGCUCAACCUCGAGAUGUCGGCGGAAACCAUCUGGCUAGAGUCCGGAAGAGGAAAGUGGAAUUCCCGGUGUAGCGGUGAAAUGCGCAGAUAUCGGGAGGAACACCUAUGGCGAAGGCAGCUCGCUGGGACGUUACUGACGCUGAGACGCGAAAGCGUGGGGAGCAAACAGG
rnacentral:rRNA from 1 species